rnacentral:rRNA from 1 species
CAAUAGCGUAUAUUAAAGUUGUUGCAGUUAAAAAGCUCGUAGUUGGAUUUCGGGGUGGCCUGCCUGGUCCACCGCAAGGUGAGUACUGGUCAGCCGCCCUUCCUCUCGAAAGCCCCGACUGCUCUUCAUUGCAGUGGUCGGGUAGUUCGGGACGUUUACUUUGAAAAAAUUAGAGUGUUCAAGGCAGGCUAUCGCCUGAAUACAUUAGCAUGGAAUAAUGGAAGAGGACCUCGGUCCUAUUUUGUUGGUUUCUAGGGCCGAAGUAAUGAUUAAGAGGGACAGUUGGGGCAUUCGUAUUUAAUUGUCAGAGGUGAAAUUCUUGGAUUUAUGAAAGACGAACUAGUGCGAAAGCAUUUGCCAAGGAUGUUUUCAUUAA